CCUACGGGAGGCAGCAGUGGGGAAUAUUGCGCAAUGGGCGAAAGCCUGACGCAGCGACGCCGCGUGAGGGAUGAAGGCCUUCGGGUCGUAAACCUCUUUCAGCAGGGAAGAAGCGCAAGUGACGGUACCUGCAGAAGAAGCACCGGCUAACUACGUGCCAGCAGCCGCGGUAAUACGUAGGGUGCAAGCGUUGUCCGGAAUUAUUGGGCGUAAAGAGCUCGUAGGCGGUCUGUCGCGUCUGCUGUGAAAACCUAGGGCUUAACUCUGGGCGUGCAGUGGGUACGGGCAGACUAGAGUGCGGUAGGGGAGACUGGAAUUCCUGGUGUAGCGGUGAAAUGCGCAGAUAUCAGGAGGAACACCGGUGGCGAAGGCGGGUCUCUGGGCCGUAACUGACGCUGAGGAGCGAAAGCAUGGGGAGCGAACAGGAUUAGAUACCCUGGUAGUCCAUGCCGUAAACGUUGGGCGCUAGGUGUGGGGUCCAUUCCACGGAUUCUGCGCCGCAGCUAACGCAUUAAGCGCCCCGCCUGGGGAGUACGGCCGCAAGGCUAAAACUUAAGGAAUUGACGG
rnacentral:rRNA from 1 species